rnacentral:rRNA from 1 species
UACGGGGGGGGCAAGCGUUGUUCGGAAUUACUGGGCGUAAAGGGCUCGUAGGCGGCCAACUAAGUCAUACGUGAAAUCCCUCGGCUUAACCGGGGAACUGCGUCUGAUACUGGAUGGCUUGAGUUCGGGAGAGGGAUGCGGAAUUCCAGGUGUAGCGGUGAAAUGCGUAGAUAUUUGGAGGAACACCGGUGGCGAAGGCGGCAUCCUGGACCGAUACUGACGCUGAGGAGCGAAAGCCAGGGGAGCAAACGGG